AAGUCGUAACAAGGUUUCCGUAGGUGAACCUGCGGAAGGAUCAUUACCUAGCCGUUCUUACGAGAGCGCGUCUUCAACUCGGCCGCAGGACCCCUUCACGCAAGAGUGCGUGUCUGGGGAAUGCGGCCAGAGGCGAAGUAAACCCUUGCCUACGAGUACCCUUUGUUCCCUCGGCGGGCUCGCGCCCGUCGAUGGGCCCAACCAAAACCCCUUUGCAGCAGCACUAUACCUCUGAUCGUGGGCAUUUGAAUCUUAACAACUUUCAACAACGGAUCUCUUGGUUCUG
rnacentral:misc_RNA from 1 species